rnacentral:lncRNA from 1 species
UAUGAGGUCCCUGCCGCCGGCCGGCGAUGUCCGCCUGGAGCUUUCGCCUUCGCCGCCGGUACCGCUACCUGUUCUGAACGGAUCUCCGGCCGACUCGUCCCUGCGUCUCAUGGCCGCUAGCAGAUCCCUGGUGCCCGACAGGCUGCGCCUACCACUCUGCUUCUUGGGUGUCUUUGUCUGCUACUUCUACUAUGGGAUCCUGCAGGAGAAGAUAACAAGAGGAAAGUAUGGAGAAGGACCCAAACAGGAGACAUUCACCUUUGCCUUAACUUUGGUUUUCAUCCAGUGUGUGAUCAAUGCUAUGUUUGCCAAGAUCUGGUGGAUCGCACUCGGACCUGGCUCUAUGCUGCCUGCUCUGUCUCCUAUGUGGGCGCCAUGGUCUCCAGCAACUCAGCACUACAGUUUGUCAACUAUCCAACUCAGGUCCUUGGUAAAUCCUGCAAGCCAAUCCCAGUUAUGCUCCUCGGAGUGACCCUCUUGAAGAAGAAGUACCCAUUGGCCAAGUACCUGUGUGUGUUGCUAAUUGUGGCUGGCGUGGCUCUUUUCAUGUAUAAGCCCAAGAAGGUGGUUGGGAUAGAAGAGCACACGGUCGGCUUUGGAGAGCUCCUUCUGCUCUUGUCUCUGACCCUGGAUGGACUGACAGGUGUUUCCCAGGACCAUAUGCGGGCUCAUUACCAAACAGGUUCCAAUCACAUGAUGUUGAACAUCAACCUUUGGUCCACGGUCUU